CCCUUAGAUGUUCUGGGCCGCACGCGUGCUACACUGAUGCAUUCAACGAGUCUAAAACCUGGUCUGAUAGGGCUGGGUAAUCUUUUGAAAGUGCAUCGUGAUUGGGAUAGAUGAUUGCAAUUCUUCAUCUUCGACGAGGAAUGCCUAGUAAACGCAAGUCAUCAGCUUGCAUUGAUUACGUCCCUGCCCUUUGUACACACCGCCCGUCGCUCCUACCGAUUGAAUGAUCCGAUGAAUACCAUGGAUUGAGAGUACGAAUAGGUUCGCUUAUUUCUGCUGCUCGAGAAGUGGAGUAAAUCUUAUCAUUUAGAGGAAGGAGAAGUCGUAACA
rnacentral:rRNA from 1 species